rnacentral:rRNA from 1 species
AGAGUUUGAUCAUGGCUCAGAAUCAACGCUGGCGGCGUGCCUCAGACAUGCAAGUCGAACGCGAAAGCCUCCUUCGGGGGGCAAGUAGAGUGGCGCACGGGUGAGUAACACGUAGGUAAUCUACCCUUGGAUUGGGAAUAACCACCGGAAACGGUGGCUAAUACCGAAUAAUGCAGCGGCACCUAAUGGUGACAGUUGUUAAAGCGGGGGAUCGAAAGACCUCGCGUCUGAAGAGGAGCCUGCGGCAGAUUAGCUAGUUGGUAAGGUAACGGCUUACCAAGGCGAUGAUCCGUAGCCGGCCUGAGAGGGCGGUCGGCCACACUGACACUGACAUACGGGUCAGACUCCUACGGGAGGCAGCAGUCGGGAAUUUUGGGCAAUGGGCGAAAGCCUGACCCAGCAACGCCGCGUGAAGGAUGAAAUCCUUCGGGAUGUAAACUUCGCAAGAACGGGAAGAAUAAGUAAGGGUUAAUAUCUCUUACGAUGACGGUACUGUUUGUAAGCUCCGGCUAACUCCGUGCCAGCAGCCGCGGUAAUAC